rnacentral:lncRNA from 1 species
UCCCCUUUAAUUUUUUUGUCCAUUUUGAUCUGUGAUCAUAUGUUUAAUAUGUAAAUUGUUGCGGUCCGAUCAGCCAUGCUUAUGAGGUUGAAACUCAUGUCCAAUCCGACGUGAAAGUAUUGUUCGUUUUAGAGAUCCAUCGAAACGUACCUCGUAUGACGUGGGUACACCCCUCACAGCUUUGCCUUCUUGUAUCCGUACCAAAACGACCAAACUCAAAAGGUACCUACACGUGGGAGGAUGGCUGCCAAGUCUUAUAAGACGAGAUGGAAUGACUGAAUAGCCGAUGUAGGACUAAAGAGUCCGCACUCCCUCCGCAAC